rnacentral:rRNA from 1 species
UACGUAGGGACCAAGCGUUGUCCGGAAUCAUUGGGCGUAAAGAGCGUGUAGGCGGCUUGUUAAGUCUUGCGUGAAAUCUCGGGGCUCAACCCCGAGCGGUCGUGAGAAACUGGCAGGCUAGAGUGCGGGAGAGGAGAGUGGAAUUCCCGGUGUAGCGGUGAAAUGCGUAGAGAUCGGGAGGAACAUCAGUGGCGAAGGCGGCCAUCUGGGACAACACUGACGCUGAAGCACGAAAGCGUGGGGAGCAAACAGG